rnacentral:rRNA from 1 species
GUUGACAGCCAUGCUACCCUGAACAAGCCUGAUUCCAUCUGAUCUUGGAAGCUAAGCAGGGUCAGGCCUAGUUAGUACUUGGAUGAGAGACAACCUAGGAAGACCAGGUGCUGCAGGAG